GCAGUAGCCACGGGAAUACAGAGGGUGCGAGCGUUAAUCGGAUUUACUGGGCGUAAAGCGUGCGUAGGCGGCUUCUUAAGUCGGAUGUGAAAUCCCUGAGCUUAACUUAGGAAUUGCAUUCGAUACUGGGAAGCUAGAGUAUGGGAGAGGAUGGUAGAAUUCCAGGUGUAGCGGUGAAAUGCGUAGAGAUCUGGAGGAAUACCGAUGGCGAAGGCAGCCAUCUGGCCUAAUACUGACGCUGAGGUACGAAAGCAUGGGGAGCAAACAGGAUUAGAUACCCGCGUAGUCCCUGUCUCUUAUAC
rnacentral:rRNA from 1 species